rnacentral:rRNA from 1 species
GGAAUGCCUUAGUUACGGCGAGUGAAGCGGCAAAAGCUCAAAUUUGAAAUCUGGUACCUUCGGUGCCCGAGUUGUAAUUUGGAGAGGGCAACUUUGGGGCCGUUCCUUGUCUAUGUUCCUUGGAACAGGACGUCAUAGAGGGUGAGAAUCCCGUGUGGCGAGGAGUGCGGUUCUUUGUAAAGUGCCUUCGAAGAGUCGAGUUGUUUGGGAAUGCAGCUCUAAGUGGGUGGUAAAUUCCAUCUAAAGCUAAAUAUUGGCGAGAGACCGAUAGCGAACAAGUACAGUGAUGGAAAGAUGAAAAGAACUUUGAAAAGAGAGUGAAAAAGUACGUGAAAUUGUUGAAAGGGAAGGGCAUUUGAUCAGACAUGGUGUUUUGUGCCCUCUGCUCCUUGUGGGUAGGGGAAUCUCGCAUUUCACUGGGCCAGCAUCAGUUUUGGUGGCAGGAUAAAUCCAUAGGAAUGUAGCUUGCCUCGGUAAGUAUUAUAGCCUGUGGGAAUACUGCCAGCUGGGACUGAGGACUGCGACGUAAGUCAAGGAUGCUGGCAUAAUGGUUAUAUGCCGCCCGUCUUGAACCACGGACCAAG